UUGGAGGGCAAGUCUGGUGCCAGCAGCCGCGGUAAUUCCAGCUCCAAUAGCGUAUAUUAAAGUUGUUGCAGUUAAAAAGCUCGUAGUUGAAUUUUGGAUUCUUCCAAUUGGUCCAUCUUUUAGAUGAGUACUGGUUGUGUGGGGUCUAUCCGCCUGGUGAUACGUAAUGUCCUUUAUUGGAUGUUUCGGGUAGUCAGGACCUUUACCUUGAAAAAAUUAGAGUGUUUAAAGCAGGCUUAUGCCGGAAUACAUUAGCAUGGAAUAAUAGAAUAGGACGAAGUUGUUUUAUUUUGUUGGUUUCUAGGACAACCGUAAUGAUUAAUAGGGAUAGUUGGGGGCAUUAGUAUUCAAUUGUCAGAGGUGAAAUUCUUGGAUUUAUUGAAGACUAACUACUGCGAAAGCAUUUGCCAAGGAUGUUUUCAUUAAUCAAGAACGAAAGUUAGGGGAUCGAAGACGAUCAGAUACCGUCGUAGUCUUAACCAUAAACUAUGCCGACUAGGGAUCGGGCGAUGUUGUUUCCAUGACUCGCUCGGCACCUUAUGGGAAACCAAAGUGUUUGGGUUC
rnacentral:rRNA from 1 species